UCGCCGCCCGGGACUCGGCGAGAAGUCCAUUGAACCUUAUCAUUUAGAGGAAGGAGAAGUCGUAACAAGGUUUCCGUAGGUGAACCUGCGGAAGGAUCAUUG
rnacentral:rRNA from 1 species